CAUGAGUGGUUGCAGUUCAAAAAACAAAACAAAAACAAAAAAUAAGAGGGAUAAGAGAAAGUAGGCAUUUUGGGUUAUCUAUACAUGUUUAAAUAUAAGGGUGGUAAAUAGGAAUGUAAUUGUUUUGGUUAAUGUUUAGAUUAAAUUGGUUAAAUACAGCAAUGAUAACGAGUGUUUAGAUUAAAUUGGUAAAUGCAGCAGUAAUAACGAUUGUUUGGGUUAAAUUGGUAGAUACAGC